rnacentral:lncRNA from 1 species
GGUUUGCAGUAAAAUCCCUUCUGGAUUUGUAAAUUCUGGGGUUUUGCAGUAAAAGUAAAUUCUCAAGUUUUGCAGUAAAAGUAAAUUCUGAGGUUUUGCAGUAAAAUCCCUUCUGGAUUUGUAAAUUCUGAGGGUUUGCAGUAAAAGUAAAUUUUGAGGUUUUGCAGUAAAAUCCUUUCUGGAGUUUGUAAAUUCAGAGUUUGCAGUAAAAGUAAAUUCUGAGGUUUUGCAGUAAAAUCCCUUCUGGAGCCCGGCCAGGGGUGGAAUUGAGGGGGGAAAGGGAAAAAUGGGAAUUUAUUGAGCGGGAACGGCUCUGAGUGAGCGCUGGGGCCACAGCAGGCACUGACCACUGACCAACACUGACCACUGGGACUGCUGAGUGACCCCCACGCCAGGCACUGACCCCACAGCAGGCACUGACCACUGACCAACACUGACCACUGGGACUGCUGAGUGACCCCCACGCCAGGCACUGACCACUCCACGCCAUCCACUGACCACUGGACAUUUGUUAUUGACCACUCCUCUCCCCUUACUGACCAUUUCACACCAUCCACUGACCACCAAACCCAUUUUGCUGACCACUGGACACCCUUUCAUGACCACUGUGAUUCACUGACCACCACACUCCUUUACUGACCAAUCCACACCAUCCGCUGACCACCAAACCCAUCCACUGACCACUGGACAGCCUUUAAUGACCACCAAACCCAUCCACUGACCACCUCACUUCCUUUAUUGACCAAUCCACACCAUCCGCUGACCACCAAACCCUCUUUAAUGACCACUGAACACCUUUAAUGACCACUCACCACCAUUCAGUGACCACUCCACACCCUUUAAAGUCCGUGCCAUUCACUGACCACCACACC